AACGCACGAGACCUGCGGACCUGCGGAGGGAUCAUUACCGAGUUUACAAAACUCCCAAACCCUUUGUGAACCUUACCUAUCGUUGCUUCGGCGGGAACGCCCCGGCGCCCUCGCGGCCCGGAACCAGGCGCCCGCCGGAGGCCCCAAACCCUCAUGUCUUUAGUGGUUUCCUCCUCUGAGUGACAUAAACAAAUAAAGUAAAAACUUUCAGCAACGGAUCUCUAGAUCGGAAGAGCACAC
rnacentral:misc_RNA from 1 species